GGCGGCUCGCGGGGCUGCGGGGCUGCGGGGCUGCGGGCGGGGGCCGGGGGUCGGAGUCCUGGGGGCGCCGCGGGGCUGGGGGGGCUGGGGGGGUCGGGGGUCCCGGGGUCCGGGGGUCCGGGCGGAGCGGCUGGUCCCCGCGGAGCGCGGGCCGCCCGGAGUGUCCCCGAGGCCGCGGCCGGGGCGCUGAGCCGGGCAGGAAGCGGCGGCGGGACGGCGUCCCCGGGGGAGGGCGGCGGCCCCGGGACUGCUGCCUCCCGCCCCGAGGCCCGGGUCCCGGGUCCCCCGCCCGCCUCUCCCUCCCCGGGGUCGGGGCCACGUCGGGGCGGCGCCGGGAGGGGCGGGGGCGCCGGUGAGCCGCGCGGGCCCCGAGGUGCUGGGGUUCGGGGCGGCGCGUCCCGGGCCCGCGGGGAGGCCGGCGGAGGAAUCCCGCUGCAUCCCGGGCGCCGGCCGCGGGCCCGAGCGGAUCCCGGAGCGGAGCUCGGCGCGGAGCUCGGCGCGGGGGUGAGGGGCGGCGGGGGGGGUGCGGCUGGGGCCCGCCGCGCGCGUGGGCGGUGCCGGGGCUGGGCGAGGGGCCCCACGCGCGCCGUCCCGCCGCCCCACGCGCGCCGCGUCCCGCCCCGUCCCUCCCCGCCCCCCCGCGCGCCCUGUUGCGGUCCCGGAGGUCGCGGGCGGCCCCCAGCGCCCGGGUCUCUGCGCCCACUGCCGGUCCGCCCGCGGGGCCGCUGCGGGGGGCGGGGGGCGGGUGCGGGGUCCGGGGAUGCGAGUGCGGGGUGCAGGGUGCGGGGUCCGGGGGUGCAAGUGCACGGUGCGGGGUGCGGAGUCCGGGGGUGCAAAUGCAGGGUGCGGGGUGCGAGGUUCGGGGAUGUGCGGUCCGAGGUCUGGGGGUGCGAGUGCGCGGUGCAGGGUCCGGGGGUACGAGUGCGGGGUGCAGAGUGCGCGGUGCAGGGUCCGGGGGUGCAAGUGCACGGUGCGGGGUGCAGGGUGCAGGGUGCGCGGUCCGAGGUCCGGGGGUGCAGAGUACGCGGUGCAGGGUCCGGGGGUGCCGGGUGGGGUCCGGGGGCUCCGCUCCUUGGCGGCCAGGGUUGCGGGGAGGCUAGAGGAGCUGCCGCCCAGACCGGUUACUCUGCAGCACGGCCUCCGGGGCCUCCCGCUAAUUUGCGGAUCCUUCCAUCCACCCGUUCCUCGUCGCUUCCACCGCGGCCACUGCUUCUAAGACGGAGGGAAGGUGAACAGAUCGGAGCAGUAAAUCCCAAGUAG
rnacentral:lncRNA from 1 species